CUCAGGCAGAUUUGAUUCUUUCUUUCUCUCUAAACUCUCUCUCUUUCAUCAACCCCAAGCACCCUUCACCACAAAUAUUCCUUCCAUCAACAUAAUAAUGCCUGCUUUAACCAGAACUUUGACCUGUAACUCUUCUAUUGACUUCUUCAAGGGACUUGUUUGUUUGGUGGGAAAACUUAUUAUCAUCCAUUCAUCCCACUAAACCAGAUCAUGAUAAUGUGAUGAUACUUUGGUAGUAAUUCAAUUCGAUUUCGAGAUCAUCUGAACAACAAGUAAAAUGUGUAAUGAGUUGGGUUGAGAAUCUUAUAUUCACAAAGGUUUCAACUCAAUAAGUUCGUAUUAUUGUGUUUCUCCGAGAAUUUAUCCGCUCACAUAUGUAGAGUGAUCUAGAGCCAUGUUAUGACAAAGUGGGUCUGUUAAUCAUUCUUCUCUGGCUAACCGGACUUGAAUAUGUGGCUGCAUUUAAGUUCUCUGCCAAAGUGAAAGAAAAGAAGGAAAGCCAUCACCUCUCAGGAAAAACAUGUCUGCAUUUAAUGGCAGUGUCCAUCUUUGGUGAACUGAAUCCUUUAGGAAUCAUGAAUCAAACUGUAGAAAAGAUGACUGCUUAAGAAAUCAGAAAAGAGCAGACAAGGUAAUUAACUGGGUGAUUCUAGAUCCAAUCAGAGAACAAAAUAUGAGUGGAGGGUUGUUUCGGGUUCAAGAAAAUAAUUUAAGCAAACAAUGAACAGGCCUAACCCAUCAAUUGAAACCCCUAAGAACAUCUUUCUAUGAUAUGUGCAGCAGAGAAAAGGCACACAAUCAAACUGCAGAAAGAGUAUCAAGUUUAGAACUUCCACAACGAAAUGAUACUCACAAAAAGUUGAGUGAUUAACAAUUUAAAUGUACAAAAGUGGGAGAGAAACGAUACCUUGUUCUGGGUCAUGGUGGAUAAUUCGAUGAGUCUGAUCAUUUUGUUGCAUUAGCAAUGUCAAGUGCAAAUGCAAUUGCCACAUACCACAUGCUUGUCCUGCAAGCUGGUUUCCUGUUGCCCAAGUAUAGACAGAAUAUUCCAUUCAAUAGGAGAUCAGCAGGUAUAGGAGUUGCCUUUUGGAGAGGCCACAAAGCGGAUCGAUGUUCAUGCCUAUCCACAGUUAAUAAUUAUCAUCUGUCUCCAUUGUGUGAAAGUUUCUUUAAAUAAAGAAAACUACUUUCUUCCUUCAUUUUCACCUGCAACUGUCUCAAAAGUCCAUCAAAUUUGCUCAUAGUAUGGGUUGAACUUUUUUCUUAUUACAGGUGAAGAUA
rnacentral:lncRNA from 1 species